UUAUACCAUGGACGAAUAAGAUUUCUCUUAUACGUCCAUGGUAUAAGAUUUCCAUGAUUGUACUUAUAUAUCAUUAAUAUAAUCAAAAAAUGUAAGCAGGGUUAUUUUUUUGAGAGUAAGCCCCCAAACUGAAGAAUGCUCGGGGGCCCCCAAAUUCUGUGCACGGCCCUGCUUGAAAUAUGAUAAUAAUAAUAAUAAUGAUAAUAAUAAGAAUAAUAAUAUUUAAUUAAAGGGGUUUUUUCUUUUCUACCCUAUUCGUGGGCAGCCGCUAACAAAAUAUUUUACAAGGCUGAAAAUUUACCUUUGUUUGGACGUUAUUAGUUUUGUUUAUUUUCUUAUGUAGUGGCAGGCAUGUUUGGUUUCACCCGUUUGUGGAUUUGGUUUCGAAUAUUUGGUAUAUUAAUCAAGAGAAGAAGACAAACUUUAAGUUGGUGGGUUUCUGGUAAAUCUGCAAAUGGAAAAAUCAAACAUUAUAAGAUCCAUUUGUAAUGAAGACGAUCAAUGAUAAUUAUGUUUUAAAAUUUGGUAAUUUACUGAUGUUGUAAAAGGAGUUUUUUGGUGGUAAUAAGAAACAAUAUAUAAACUGGGUAAUUAGUUAAACAUCCAAAAUUAGGUUAAACAAAUUCUCAUGCAGUUGUACAGUAAUGGAUUACAAAAUGCUUUUGAAGUUUUUUAAUUUUGUAAAAAAUAAAUAUUCCUCCA